UACGUAGGGACCGAGCGUUGUCCGGAUUCAUUGGGCGUAAAGAGCUCGUAGGCGGCCACUCAAGUCGAAUGUGAAACCUCGAGGCUUAACCUCGAGCCUGCAUUCGAUACUGGGCGGCUAGAGUCUGGUAGGGGGAUCUGGAAUUCCUGGUGUAGCGGUGGGAAUGCGCAGAUAUCAGGAGGAACACCGGUGGCGAAGGCGGGAUCCUGGGCCAGUACUGACGCUGAGGAGCGAAAGCGUGGGGAGCAAACAGG
rnacentral:rRNA from 1 species